rnacentral:lncRNA from 1 species
GUCUAUUGGGUUUUUGAUGUGUGUGUGGUUUUUGGGUGGGGAUGCAGGGGUGAAAGUGAAUGGUGGAUAUUUCCAGCGGGACUGGUCGUGUGUAAGAUAAUGCAGUCGCAGCUCAUAAAUAGACAUGUAGCAAACCUGGAGAUACAAGACCGCUCGUUGUACAGUAAGGAUUUUGAGCUGUUUUGGCAGUCGUGACAAAGUCUUGUCAGGUAAUUUUUAUGAGAACAAUUGAAAAAAGCUUUGUCCCAGUUUGCUUUUUUUCUUUCUCUUGUUGUAAUUCUAUUACUCUAUAGGUGAAUAGAAUUAGGGAUACAAUAGAGAAGGAACUCUGUCAUGGGACAAAGAAAGUAAAGAAAACAAGUUUAUUUGAUGGUAGAUUAUAAUUAGAGGGAUUUGUUUUUCUUUUGUUUCCAAUGGAUGGUCGUAUUGGUUUUGAUUAUUCUUAAGGUUGUGUAUGUAAAUAAGUGAGAAACCCAUUCUCUAUCUACUUGGCACUGUGUUUCUUAUUUCUGCCUAGAGCUGCAAACCGGACGAGUCCAUGUCCAUUAGUCCAUAUACAUUAGUCCAUAUCCAUUUGUCCAUUUAUUGUUUGCGUACAUAAAGUGACCAUGUCUAUUAAGAACCAUAUCCAUUAAGGACCAUACCCACUAACACCCAUAUUUUCAUGGGCUGCCAUGGAGUCCAUAAUGACCAUAUAAGAAAUUUUAAAUUUUAAUUUAUAAGCCUACAAUUAUAUAUACAAAUUCAUAAAAUUAAAAUUCAUCCAUAAAUUCAAAAAUACAACAAUAAAUAAGUUCAUAAGUGAAGAAAUUCUGCCUCAGAGUAGGCUUCUUCACUUGAAUUAUUGUUCUUUGGUGUAUAUUGACAAAGUAAUGGAUUUUGGGAUCUUAAUUUUUUUUUUUAAUUUGGAGAAGUUGACUUCUGACUUUUGAGAGAAGGAACGUAGCCAAGUAAACCAUUACUCCCGCCGUGACCUAAUUACAACGACGUUAUGAGACUAAACAUAUAGCGUUAUGAAGUCGACCAAAUUGGUUCCUCCAUGGUCAUUUUCCCUAAAAAUUUACAUAUUUUUAAAAUGGGUGUCACCAAGAGCUCUUAAUUAAGAGGUUGUGGAAUUAAAUUAACUUAAUUAAAGACACAAAGAUUCCUUGUCGUUAAAGUUAUCACAAUCCAACUACAGAAUGAUCUCACCAAGAAAAUCCGAGUCGAAGAGUAUUAAUGCCUUUCACUUGAUAAACCAUCACGUGCAUGAGUUAGGACAGAGAGCAGAUUUCUUCCAUAGCUCAUUACCAAAUGCAUAUGUUACCAGUAGAACUAGGUAAUAUUUUCAGUAACUAUUGGUCCUUACAAGAAUUAACUCUUCUUUUUUAAACUCUUCUCUGGCCCAAAUCUCAUGUUUUAUUGGUUUCACAUCAUGACCGGUUCUGAUUUAUGCAUCCUUGUCAAGUAUGGACCGUCAAGUAUAGCAUUGUUUAUUUUGAUAAGAUUUUUUUCAUAUUAAACUACAUUUUUGAUAAAAAAAACUACGUUAAACUACAUAUUUCAUAAAUUAUUUUGAUUUGAUAACAUAGAAAUAUGCACAUGAUGCAAAGAUCCGCCCCCUAACUAAUGAAAUAAAAUCUUUAUAAACUUUUAAAACACCGCAUUAAUAAUAGAUCAAAUAGAUAUAAUAAAAUUUUAAUACUUAAACAUGAACAUAAAAUCUCAAUUAUUUAUUAAAAAGCCAAAACACUGUUCUAUAAGCUUAUAUUCCACAAGAAUCUCCUCCAGGUCCGCCAUAUGUGAACAAAUUAGAUUCUUUGAAGAAAAUUCGUUUCUUUCCAUCUUUUAAUCCAUAACAUUUGUUGUUGUCUAAUAGCUUCUCUAGCUUAUAUUUGCGACUAGCCAUGAAAUUAUAUUUAGUGUCUACAAUGAGGAGGUUUUUAACACGUGCGGAUUCAUCUUCCUUUUGAGUUGGCAGAUGACCAUUGCCCAUUGGUGGACUAAUACCAGAAGUGGAAGUUUGGACUACUCCCGUGACUCCAACCAUAUCCACACUACGACCUAUAUCAAUGCGACAAUUGUUAUGGAUUAAUGUAUAAGAAAUCCUUUUUAUUGGCUCUUAUGAGUAUUGUCCACCAAUGUCCGGUUGCAUAAUCCUUUAAUAAAUGAUAAAAACAAUAUGCACAUUAGGUUUGUAUAAUAUUGUUCAAGAAAAUGUUACUAGAAAAGUAUAAAUACUACCUGUGAAAUACUAGGGUUAACAGCCCUAUCUCCUUUCCGGGGAUAAGGAAAAGGAACAGAUAACGGAUCAGUUGUUGACACUUGAAUAAAACCAGGACAUAUUGUAUUAUAACAUCCUGCUCCAUUGGCACCCUAUCAAUAUUCAGUUUAUUAUAUCAGUACAGUCUAGAUAAAAAUUGAAAAUUUAUGUAUAUCAAAAAGACAAAAUUACAAAUACAGACUAAAAGAAUAACUAAAUAAGUAUUAAAAUAUGUCUGAGACAAAAUUAUGGUUAUAUUUUAAAAUACAAUAUAAAACAUUUUAUGUAAUUUUACUAUGCAUAUUUAUAUUAUUUUAAAUGGUUUGUUUAGAAAAAUAAGAUUUAAAAUUAUAAAAAUGUGAGAUUUUAACUAUAUUUAUAACAAGAGAAAAAAAUCGUAUUAUUUUAGUUCUUAUUUUUAACUAUCCUUUUACAUUUUAAUGAAACAACUUUAAAAACAGAAGAUUGAUAUUUAUAUGUUUCACUUAUACUGUAUAUAAAAUACAAUAAUCAUAUUUUAAUAACACGCCAUGGUUUAGCAUAAUUUUCUUUUAACUAAAAAAAUUAUGAUUAUUUUUUUAUGUUUCAGCUAAUGUACCUUCCAAAACCCGUAACUCCAGGUGCGUCCAUCAUCAAAUAAACUUGGAUUUACCUAUUUGUCAAACUAUAUUUUGUUAAGCAAACCUAUAUAAAACUAAAUUAAAAAUGCAUCAACGUUAAUUUACCAUCCAACCGGUUUGGAUAAAAUUAGUUUUCUUGUUGUAUCCACUGCCAACAUAUAUAUUAGCAUAUGAAGCUUGGUCCCUACUAAUAUUCAAAUCAUGCACACUCAUCCAAGCUGCUAAACCAUGGUAAGGACCUUCAUCUUGUGAUCUAACUCCAGCAAUCUUUAAAUUCCGAAAGUUACAUCAUAUGAUUUUUCAAGAUAUACAUAUUUAUGACACAAAUCAUUCAGUGACUUACAUGUGUUCCUGGACUAUCUUCUGUGAGUGGGUUGAAGUGUUUCUCAGCCCAAUACUUAGCAUUUGCGACAUAUUCUUUUGUAUUUUUCAGUAUAGGUACUGUUCCAUUUGGACAGUUGAUGCUUAUUCUAUUUUCAAUUUUACUUUUUAUUUGCUUUUUUAGUUUCCAGCUUGAAAAAGAUGGUUCCAUCUAUUUCAAAUUAUAUGGUUACAUAUAAUGUAAAGUGAGAUUUAUAUAUUAUCUAAUACUAUACCAAACAUAAGAUAUUUUUUUCUUGAAAAAAUCAUCUUUCCUUUAUUGAUUAAAAAAAAAAACUCAGAUAGAAAAUCAAAAUUUAACAAAAGUGUAGUAAGAGUAGUUGAUAAAUAAUUUCAGUUUUAUGUUUAACUACUUUAUAAAUAUAUAUUCAUGAGAGAAAGGUAAAAAACAAACUAAGACUAGUAACAAAGAAAAAUUGGAUUGUUAGCAACAACAAAAAUUGAUUGUAGUCACACAGUCAUUCAUCAAUUUUACUCCGCUGAAUCAAUAAAGUAAGCAUUGUUUAAAAUUCAACAAAGCAUAUAAUAUUGAGGAAAGAAUACCUGAAUUUUAUGGUUUUUGAGUAGUGGAUGGCUUAAUGACGGUUGUUUAUAUAUAUCCACACAAUCAUAUAUAAUCUUCUCGUUUAGCUAUAAAAACAUAUUUGGAAUUAAUACCAGAAAAUAAUCUACAUAAAUCAGUUUAAAACUUGGAUGUGUAUAAAUACAUAUUUCUUAUUAUUAUUUUCAACUACCUUAAAUGAUUUCACAUUUCUGACACUUUCUAUAGAUUGAACCAGAGAAACUAUGAAUAUGAAUAUGAAUGUGACGAGUUUGAAAAAGAAAUUCAUAUCAAUAUGAAUGUGAACAAAUAUUUUCUUUUUGUUGAAUACACCUCCAAAUAUUUAGGUAUUUAUAAUAGUAAAGGUGAUAAAUCUAUGUUCCUUCCUGGUUUUCAAGUUUUUUUAUUUUAUUUAAUGGUUUUUAUGAAUAAUCAUUAUAAAUAAACACACAAUUUCAAUUUUCCAUAUUGUUUCAGUGGGUUUUUUUUAUACAUUGGUUCAAAUGGAUAUUUUAUUAUGAUACAAAUAUCACACACUUAAAUGUUCUAAUUUGGAUUUUCAUAAAAAAAAUUCUAUUUAAUACUAAUUUCAAUAAUUUACCUGAGUUUUAUACACCUAAAAUAAAUACAUAUCCCUCUUUAUUAGUCCAUUUUAACUUUUUAAUAAAAAAUAAUUAAUACUCUGAGAUCUUAUCUAUAAUAAAUUGAAUAUGCAUAUUAUUUUUAAAAAUGUGUAUGUUGUAUUAAUUGUUGACACACAGCAACAUAAGUAUCAAAAAUCCAACACACACAUAUAUAUAUAUAUUGCUUUUAUAGGAAAUUUAGUAUACAUAUUGAUCUGCUUAAAGACACCUUUGGUUUAGUUACCGAAGUUCAUUUUUAAACAGGCAUACAAAAGAGAAGGAACUCUGAUUGCCAAUGUUGGGAUUUAUUAAAUCCAUGUUCAACUCUAUAUUAUCCGAUUAGUACGAUAUUGUCCACUUUGGGCCUAAUUGGCUGGCCCUCAUAGAUUUACUUUUGGUUUACAUCCCAAAAGACCUCGUACUAUUAGAGUUAGAAAUCUCUUUAUAUAUUAGACACUUUUUGCUAAUUAUCCAAUGUGAGACUUAGUUUGUUAUCUCACAUUCUCCCAUUCAAACUAAGGAUCACAUUCAUCUCAUGCUCCACAACUGACUUCCAGAAUCUUUUGAGUUGAUCUCUGCCACACACCUCUCAGUCCUAACUCAUAGGAUACCAUUCAUCUCUCGAAGGGUAUAUUGGUCUUUUGCAGAUUUCUCGUCAACCGCUCUGAUACCAAUUGUUGGGAUUUAUUAAAUUCAUGUUCAACUCUAUAUUAUCCGAUUAGUACGAUACUGUCCACUUUGGACCUAAUUGGCUGGUCCGCAUGGAUUUAGUUUUGGUUUCCAUCCCAAAAGGCCUCGUACUAUUAGAAUUAGACAUGUUUUUGUCUAAUUCUCCAAUAUGAGACUUAGUUAGUUAUCUCACGGCCAAGGGUAAAAAAAAAAAAGUUUAUUUGAUAGUGGAUUAUAGUCAGAGGGAGAAAUCUUGUGUAAUAUGAAAAGAUCAUAGUGGAUUAUGUGUAGAUUUAUAGCGGAUUAUAAUUAGAGGGAGAAAUCUUGUGUAAUCUGAAAAGAUCAUAGUGAUUAUGAAUAGCAUCAAUAGUGCAUUGGACUAUAUUGGUUUAGUAAUUGGAAUUAGUUAUCUCCUAUAUAUUAAUUGAGAAGCAUUUGAAAAAUUAGAACCUUAAUUUUGUAUUAAUUAAAAACAACCUCAAAUCCUAGGUGGCACUCUAAAUGCCUUCUAAAUUCUAUUUCAAAGAAUUCUAGAGCAUCUAAUAUAAAGUAUAGUUUAAUCUAAUGGUGUCACAUUAUUCCAUAAUUAUAUAACACUAGAGAACAUUAUAUUAACCUAAAAUAUAAGAAGUGUGUAUUAUUUCCUUAAAUAAAAGCUACAGAAUUACCUAAUAUGAUUUACAUAUAUAUGACAAUUAAUGAUUAUGAAUAAUAAAGAUUUGAUAACAAUUUUUGCAUCAUUCUUCAUUUUUGUUUAAUUUUAUAUUAUUAAAAAAAAACAAUCACAUUAACCAUAUAAUAAAAAAUUAGAUUUUUUCUUAUAUGUUAUAUUUUGAAUUUUUUAAAAUGACUUUAAAUUACAAAAAUGAGGAAACCUUAUAUGUUAUAUUUUUUUUAAACGACUUUAAAAUACAAAAUUGAGGACACCUUAUAUGUUAUAUUUUCUUGUAUGUUAGACUUUUUCUUAUAUGUUAUAUUUUGAAUUUUUUAAAACGACUACAAAAUGUAAGUUUUCUUUAAGUAUACGACUAAAACAUUAAAAUGACAUGUAUCAGUUCGAUGGUUGAUUUGAAAGCUUUCAAAACUAUAUGUAAGAUAGAAGUCAAAAUAAUUCAACUGUGAAAACAAUACUGUUCACUUUUUCAAGAAUGUGUUCGAGGAAAAAAAUAAGGUUUUUAUGUCAUAAGUUGUUUAAUGUCCACUAGAGAACAUUAUAUUAACCUAAAAUAUAAGAAUUGUGUAUUUUUUUCCCUAAAUAAAAGCUAUGAAAUUGUCUAAUAUGAUUUACAUAUAUAUGGCAAUUAAUGAUUAUGAAUAAUAAAGAUUUGAUAACAAUUUUUGCAUCCUUUUUUAUUUUGUUUAAUUUUAUAUUAUUGAAAAAAAUAAACAAUCACAUUAACCAUAUAAUAAAAAAAUUAGAUUUUUUCUUAUAUGUUAUAUUUGGAAUUUUUUAAAAUGACAUUAAAUUACAAAAAUGAGGAAACGUUAUAUGUUAUUUUUUUUUUAAAACGACUUUAAAAUACAACAAUGAGGACAUCUUAUAUGUUAUAUUUUUCUUAUAUGUUAUAUUUUUUCUUAUAUGUUAUAUUUUGAAUUUUUUAAAACGACUUUAAAUUACAAAAAUGUAAGUUUUCCUUACGUAUACGACUAAAAACAUUAAAAUGACAUGUAUCAAUUCGAUGGUUGAUUUGAAAGCUUUCAAAACUAUAUGGAAGAUAAAAGUCAAAAUAAUUCAAUUGUGAAAACAACACUGUUCACUUUUUUCAAGAAUGUGUUUGAUGAAAAAAAUAAGGUUUUUAUGUCAAAAUUUGUUUAAUGUCCAAUCCGAUCAACCCAUGAUGUAUUAAUUAAAGUUUUGUUUCAUCAUUUUUAAUAAAAAUUGAUCUGAUCCAGCGGAAAGAAAUUAUAUAAUAACAAAAAAUAUUGUAUAUAUAUAAAUAAAAUGAUCAAAUAUAUAAAAACAUUAUCGGUAACAUGUAGAAAUAAACUCUUAUCCUAGUAUUGUGUUAUUAGCUCGAUUUUCAUUGGGAGGAGAAGUUUUAAGCUAAUUCAUCGAAAUUAACACUGACUGGUCCCGUGUCUAGGGAAAAAAAAAAAAAGGGAAAGAUUAGGGUUUGGCCUAAACUCCUCCCAAAUUACAAUGAGCCUAAUCGUAAAAGAAAAACUUGAUAAUUUUUUUGUCGACGAUUGUAACUGUAAUAAAAUGCCCGAAAUUAAAUGUUGGAAAAUCUUGUUAUUCCAUAAACUCCAAAUGAAGAAGUCAGAUUUUGACUCGAAAACGCUGAUCGCAUGUAGCUUUUGUUUGGAUCAAGAGUAUAUGUAAGACCGACAUAUAACGUAUCUCCUAUCAAAUCAUUAAAUAAAUCAUCAACCCUACCUCGCACCCUCUAAAGCAAGCCUAUCACUAUUCCCAAAACUAUUAUAAACACAAAUCAAAAAGUAACACAACUUUUGCUUUUAAAGGAAAAACGUUUCACAGUGACAAAAAAAAACGUUUCAUGUGGUUUGACUAAACGGACGUCGACGUAUCGUGAAGCUGCUUGCAACUCCGGUAUCAAAUCUUAUGCUUUAAAAGCAUUUAUUAUGGGAUCCAUAUUACUAACCAUGGAUAACCGUUGGAAUCAAUGCCUUAUUCAGUCAUGGACCUAGACGCUCUGCUGGCUUAGCACGCCUUUACGCUUUGUGGAACUACAUGUCUUUGGUCAAUGUGGUAAGUACUCUUUGUUUUUUGUUAUCGAAAACUUAUUUUCUUAUAAAAUGCAAUGUGAACUGCAUGCAUGUUCAUGACACAUGAGGAUGAUUUUUUAACAGUUAUAUUUGUUGAAGUUAUGACUGUUGAUUCUUGCAUGUCUCACGUUACCUGACAAGUUUUGGUUGUGUGACAGUUUGUUGCUUUUCUCUGCGGAUAUGUUCAUUAUCACAGCGAAUCAUCAGCAAGCAAAAAAAUCCCGUUUCAGCCGUGGAAUAUAAACAUGUAAGUUUUACUACAAUGGAAAGUAAUACUUUGUGGCAAUCUUACGUUUUGGUCUAUUCGGUUUGUGAUGUGUGUUGUGGUUUUUGGGUGGGGAUGCAGGGGUGAGAGUGAAUGGUGGAUAUUUCCAGCGGGACUGGUCGUGUAUAAGAUAAUGCAGUCGCAGCUCAUAAAUAGACAUGUAGCAAACCUGGAGAUACAAGACCGCUCGUUGUACAGUAAGGAUUUUGAGCUGUUUUGGCAGUCGUGACAAAGUCUUGUCAGGUAACUUUUAUGAGAACAAUUGGAAACACCACUGUCCCAGUUUGUUUUGUAAUUCUAUUAUGCUAUAGGUGAAUAGAAUUAGGGAUAUAAAAGAGAAG